AUUGAACGCUGGCGGCAUGCCUUACACAUGCAAGUCGAACGGCAGCAUGAUCUAGCUUGCUAGAUUGAUGGCGAGUGGCGAACGGGUGAGUAAUACAUCGGAACGUGCCCUGCAGUGGGGGAUAACUAGUCGAAAGAUUAGCUAAUACCGCAUACGACCUGAGGGUGAAAGUGGGGGACCGCAAGGCCUCAUGCUAUAGGAGCGGCCGAUGUCUGAUUAGCUAGUUGGUGAGGUAAAGGCUCACCAAGGCGACGAUCAGUAGCUGGUCUGAGAGGACGAUCAGCCACACUGGGACUGAGACACGGCCCAGACUCCUACGGGAGGCAGCAGUGGGGAAUUUUGGACAAUGGGCGAAAGCCUGAUCCAGCAAUGCCGCGUGUGUGAAGAAGGCCUUCGGGUUGUAAAGCACUUUUGUCCGGAAAGAAAUGGCUCUGGUUAAUACCUGGGGUCGAUGACGGUACCGGAAGAAUAAGGACCGGCUAACUACGUG
rnacentral:rRNA from 1 species